ACCCGCUUGGUGUAGUGGUUAGCACUAUGUUCUUAUACUUCUUCAGUUUUAAGAGAUAUGCAUGGGUCGCCAGUUCGAUCCUGGCAGUGGGUA